GCUUCAAUAACUCAGUUGGUAGAGUGCAGGUCUCAUAUGUUCGUAUGAUGCUUCUUACGUAAGCAAACCAUCCUGAAGUCGCAAGUUCGAGCCUUGCUUGGAGCA
rfam:Schizopora paradoxa strain KTC8140 unplaced genomic scaffold SCHPAscaffold_00073, whole genome shotgun sequence.